GACGAACGCUGGCGGCGUGCUUAACACAUGCAAGUCGAACGGAAAGGCCCUGCUUUUGUGGGGUGCUCGAGUGGCGAACGGGUGAGUAACACGUGAGUAACCUGCCCUUGACUUUGGGAUAACUUCAGGAAACUGGGGCUAAUACCGGAUAGGAGCUCCUGCUGCAUGGUGGGGGUUGGAAAGUUUCGGCGGUUGGGGAUGGACUCGCGGCUUAUCAGCUUGUUGGUGGGGUAGUGGCUUACCAAGGCUUUGACGGGUAGCCGGCCUGAGAGGGUGACCGGCCACAUUGGGACUGGGAUACGGCCCAGACUCCUACGGGAGGCAGCAGUGGGGAAUAUUGCACAAUGGGCGGAAGCCUGAUGCAGCAACGCCGCGUGCGGGAUGACGGCCUUCGGGUUGUAAACCGCUUUCGCCUGUGACGAAGCGUGAGUGACGGUAAUGGGUAAAGAAGCACCAGCUAACUACGU
rnacentral:rRNA from 1 species